rnacentral:rRNA from 1 species
UACGUAGGCAGCAAGCGUUGUUCGGACUUACUGGGCGUAAAGAGUGUGUAGGCGGUGCUCUAAGUUCGGUGUGAAAUCUCCCGGCUUAACUGGGAGGGUGCGCCGGAAACUGGAGUGCUCGAGCGUGGGAGAGGAAAGCGGAAUUCCUGGUGUAGCGGUGAAAUGCGUAGAUAUCAGGAGGAACACCUGCGGUGUAGACGGCUUUCUGGACCAUUGCUGACGCUGAGACACGAAAGCGUGGGUAGCAAACAGG